GGUCGCUGAUAAUCUUUUGUGAGCUUUGCAGAAAAUGAUCUCGCUGGGUGUGUUGCUUAUUUUACCGGCAAUCUGUCAAGCGUCAUCUUCGUCUUAUGGAUGGCAUCGUUGCCCGAAACCGAAUGAAUAUUAUGGCCGGUGCCGCUGGGAUAGUAUUACAGUUGAAGACCUAUGCCCUGAAGCUCCAUCUCAGUGGUGCAAUUAUCGCGCCUUUAGAAAUAAAGUAAGGACACGUCCCUGCGCCUGCUUUAGUGGAUAUUGCAGGAAUAGGAACGGGACUUGCGUGCUGUGCAAAGACUGCGACACUUGUAUAUAUAAGAAAGUGGAGCUUCCGAGGAAUGGCGCUGCAAGAUAUUUUAAUGAUACCUGUGAAAAAGCACGGUGCAACUCCAAUAGACGCGUCGUUGAAGGAUGCGAAAAUAAAAAGCCGGCACAAUACGGAAGCUGCGUUUAUGUUCGUGCAAAGGGUCAAUAUCCAACGUGUUGUAACUGGUUGCGUGUAUGUUAGUGACAUGUGAAGGCACCAUAUACAUUCUUUCGCGAGUUGCUUGCAACUGAAAUGGUGCGUCAGGUGGGAGAUCAGAAAUGCUGCGGCUAAAUACAUAAUAAAACAUUAUGUGCUGAGA